AAUUUUACAAUUCAAAUUUCAGUGAUUGUAGCAUCACUUAAAAUAGGAAAUCAUUUUUCUUUUAAUUUUUGAGAGGAAAUUACCGACCUUCUCAUAUUCUUACAGUUGAAAGAGCCCAACUAGAUUUUGUUCUAGAUGUUCUAACAAUAAGAAGAAUCUAAUCAUUUCACUCUGAACAUAUAUUUCAGAAUAAAUUAUAUCUUUUUAUUAAGCUUCCAGGAAAUGGGAUGGAAACAAUUUCCAGUGGCUAUCAUCACUAAUGUAUUUAACAGCUCCUUUUUCUUUUGACUGGUACUUCAAAAAUUACUAUAAAUUGCUAAGAAAGAAAUUCCUAUAUGAAUAGAGCUGACACUGUUCAUACCAGUUUUUACUUACAGUUAGGGAGCCUUUCCUCAAUCACAAAUAACACUAGUUGAUUAUUCCAUUU
rnacentral:lncRNA from 1 species